GAUGAAGAACGUAGCGAAAUGCGAUAAGUAAUGUGAAUUGCAGAAUUCAGUGAAUCAUCGAAUCUUUGAACGCACAUUGCGCCCAUUAGUAUUCUAGUGGGCAUGCCUGUUCGAGCGUCAUUAAUUCCACUUAAGCCCUGCUUAGUGUUGGGAAUCUACUCUAGUGGUGCUACCCUGGAGCUACCCCUGAAAGGGGGCUGGCCCGGUAGCUACCCUGUAGUUCCUCAAAGAUAGUGCGCGGAGUUGCGUGGUCCUCUGAGCUUAGUAACUAUACACCUAGCUUUUGAGUGUCCCGCAGCGCCUGCCGUUUAAACCCCAUCUUUUAAUGGUUGACCUCGGAUCAGGUAGGAAUACCCGCUGAACUUAAGCAUAUCAAUAAGCGGAGGA
rnacentral:misc_RNA from 1 species